rnacentral:rRNA from 1 species
AGUCGAGGGGUAUAGUUCUUCGGAAUUAGAGACCGGCGCACGGGUGCGUAACGCGUAUGCAAUCUACCUUUCACAGAGGGAUAGCCCAGAGAAAUUUGGAUUAAUACCUCAUAGUAUAUAGAGUUGGCAUCAACAUUAUAUUAAAGUCACAACGGUGAAAGAUGAGCAUGCGUCCCAUUAGCUAGUUGGUAAGGUAACGGCUUACCAAGGCUACGAUGGGUAGGGGUCCUGAGAGGGAGAUCCCCCACACUGGUACUGAGACACGGACCAGACUCCUACGGGAGGCAGCAGUGAGGAAUAUUGGUCAAUGGGCGCAAGCCUGAACCAGCCAUGCCGCGUGCAGGAUGACGGUCCUAUGGAUUGUAAACUGCUUUUGUACAGGAAGAAACAGUUCUACGUGUAGAACCUUGACGGUACUGUAAGAAUAAGGAUCGGCUAACUCCGUGCCAGCAGCCGCGGUAAUACGGAGGAUCCAAGCGUUAUCCGGAAUCAUUGGGUUUAAAGGGUCCGUAGGCGGUUUAGUAAGUCAGUGGUGAAAGCCCAUCGCUCAACGGUGGAACGGCCAUUGAUACUGCUAGACUUGAAUUAUUAGGAAGUAACUAGAAUAUGUAGUGUAGCGGUGAAAUGCUUAGAGAUUACAUGGAAUACCAAUUGCGAAGGCAGGUUACUACUAAUGGAUUGACGCUGAUGGACGAAAGCGUGGGUAGCGAACAGGAUUAGAUACCCUGGUAGUCCACGCCGUANACGAUGGAUACUAGCUGUUGGGCGCAAGUUCAGUGGCUAAGCGGAAGUGAUAAGUAUCCCACCUGGGGAGUACGUUCGCAAGAAUGAAACUCAAA